GCAAGCAAAAAGUACUGGAAAUUUUAUGAGACAUUCGAUAAAACGGAUUGAAAUUUCCAUUGUCCUUGAUCGUUCCUUCGACCGAGUACCUUCCAUUUCCAUCCGCUCUUCUGCCUUCGAUUUGACUUCCUCCGUCUCUGUUGUAUUAUCGAAGAGUUAAGUGGGAAGAUCAGAGAUAUUCCCUCUAGGGAACGCAAUGAGCUUACAGCUCGCUCCUAGGGUCGUGUAGUCCUGGAACUAUCAGGAUUUCCAUAAGAAGUCUAUGGGUGAUUCCGUCAUUAGGAGUGAUAAGAUAUGCAUUUCAUCAGAUCCUUAUGAGUGGACAAGGACUUGGUGGCAGGGAAGAGGAUUGGGAUUGGUCUGACUUCUGACGGGCUAUAUCGCUUACCUAUGCGUACUGCUCAGGCUCUCAUGACGUCAGUCAGUCAAGCAACGAAGAACAGAGAGGAGUCCCUUCAAUUGCUUCUACGGUGGCAUGAGCGCCUGGGACACCUGCCUUUUGGAAUUCUUAGACAGCUGUUUCCUGAUUUAUGUUCCAGAAUACAAGAAUCUCUCAAGAAAGAAGUAAUCGUGGAGGAUGAUUUUGCAUGGAUUGUAGCUGAAAGAGAAGGCAAAAAAAGCACCUGCUUUGGCAAAAAUCAACUGCACUACAUUGGAGGAGUUGAUCUGAGUUUCUCCAAAGAUGAUCCUUCUGUUGCAUGUGGUGCACUUGUUGUUUUGGAUUUUAAUACUAUGAAUGUUGUUUAUGAAGAUUACAAUGUUUCAAGACUCCAGAACCCAUAUGUUCCAGGGUUCCUUGCAUUCAGAGAGGGUCCAAUUAUUGUAGACUUGCUUGAGAAAAUGAGGAAUGAGAAAAAUCCUUUCUAUCCCCAGCUCUUGAUGGUCGACGGCAAUGGGCUACUUCACCCUAGAGGUUUUGGGUUAGCUUGUCAUCUUGGUGUUCUGGCUGAUAUUCCAACUAUUGGGAUUGGAAAAAAUUUACAUCAUGUAGAUGGUCUAACAGAAUCUGGAGUAAGACAAGUUUUGAGAUCACAAAACCGGUCCAGUGAUGAAGUGAUAAUGUUGACUGGGAACUCCGGGAAAAUAUGGGGUGCCGCUAUUCGUGCAACAUCAUCUUCUUUGAAGCCAAUUUAUGUAUCCAUUGGGCAUCGCAUUUCACUUGAAACAGCAGUGAGAAUUGUUAAAAAUUGCUGCAUAUACCGUGUUCCCGAACCCACUAGGCAGUGUCAAUUAAUGGUGCUAGGGGAGAAUUCAUAAAUCCAUCGACAGGAAUCCACCAGGGAGAUCCUAUUUCGCCUUAUUUGUUCAUGACGGCUAUGGAGAUUUUUCAGCGCCAUUUUCAACGACCUCAAGAUCAGGACAAGCUCCAUCCUCCAUUAGAUCUAUUUUAGAAGCGUUCAGGCCUCAUUGUUAAUGCGGCUAAGUCUAAUAUGUUGUUUUUUCAUAUGGAUAAUGACGGAGAAACUUGAUUGCAAAAUACCCUUGGAUGGAACCGUUCUACUCUUCCUUUGAACUACUUGGGUAUUCCUCUUUUUGCAGGUAACAUGUCAAUUGCGUUAUGCAAAGGCCUUAUACGGAAAAUAUCAAGUCAAUUAGCUGAAUGGAAAAGCAAACUCUCGUCGUACUCAAGGAGAGUUUGUUUGCUUUCUUAAAAAAGUGAUUUCGCAGACUGGAUUAUUGGAUAUCAGUGCCCCCAACCCCUCCGAAGACUCUUAAGUACAUUGAGAAGAUUAUGACAAUGUUUUUAUGGAACGAAUGGCCAGAAAAUAGGAAAUCUCAUUAUAUUGUUGGAAACAGCUGUCCAAACCAUUUAGUGAGGGUGGGAUUGGCAUUAAACAUCUCGUGGAACUGAACCAAGCUGCACUGCACCAUCUAACUGUCAGUAUUCCUACCAUAGAUAAACUCUAGACCCCAAUUAUGCAAAAGAAAUAUCUUAGUGAGGAAGGUUUAUAGACAUGCAAGGCUAUAUCACACCAUUCAUGGCUCUAAAAGAUGAUGUUAAAGCAUUGGAACGACAUUAAGAACAGGUUCACUGGCAGAUCUUUGAUGGAAAUGAAGCUUAUUUUUUGGUAGACAAAUGGAAUUCGUCGGUGCCCAUUAAGGAGGUCCCAUAUGGUAUGAUUGGACAAAUUUUGCAUAGGCCAAAAUUGACAGUCUCAAGUGUUUGAAUCCUUUAACGAGAUGCAUUGGGAUGAUGAGCUUAAACUCCUCAUUUCAGGUAAGCUACAAGGGUGCCAUUUAGAUGAGGGUCGCGUGUCUGAUCGUCUCACUUGGGAAGGAAAUGAUAUAUCUACUUGGAAGAAAUCAGAUGUUUGGGAUUCUAUUCGCAAGACUGCCCCUUCGCAUCAGUGGAGAAGCUGGGUUUGGUCUGCUCGCUGUCACCCCAGAUUUUUGUAGACAGAUUUUUUUGCUUGUGAAGAUCGAUUGCCAACCCAGGAUAUGUUAAAAAAACUUGGUUUUCAAUUGCUUAAUAGAUGUCCAUUAUGCAAAUGUCAAGAGGAGGACCAGAGGCAUCUCUUCAUUGGGUACAAGAUUUCUCCCAAUGUUUGGGCAGCCAUCAUUAGGAAAUUUCCAAUUAAAAGAUUCCCCCACAUGUCGGUGUUAUACGAAGUGGCAUUUUACAUCAUUUACAAGGGGCUGGAUUGGAAGAUGCUGGGAAAUGAUCUUCCCUACCAUAUGUUGGAAAGUUAUGGUCAUUAAGGAUUGAGGCCUACCAUAAUGGGCCACCUUCACCAUCCCUCAGGCCAUAAGGCGGUGGAUGCCAAAGAAGUCCAGCAGCUCCAGCUACGGCUGGAAUAUGGCUUAUUACAGUUCAUCACCAACCGAGUAACAGGUGCCAUUAUCAUGCCCACGUUCUGUCUUUCCAUUAUCCUAAUCAGUCCUGGGUUGGUGCUAUCUAUUGUAGACACUCUAUGGUAGCCCUUUAGGCAGCUGUUAUUUUAGAUUCAGCAGAUUUGGUAUGCCCUAAAAUGCAUGUAAUGGAGAAACUUCUAGGAAACAUUGACCUCCUAGGUGGUCAGAUUGGGAAUUUCGCUAACAGCUUCAAAUGGAAACGUUUGUUGACCAGAGGACUGGAAGGACGAUCCCAAUUCCUAAGGAACUUCCCGGCAAUCCUUGAAGCAAUAACUCAGACUGUGGUUGAUGGUAGUGACAUGAUAGUGGAUGUUGUUCAAAAACUGAGUACUCUGACGCUAGGGGCUGGCUGAUAAGCUUUUCCUCAACUAAGUCCUUUCUUUUUGUUACUUGAUGAUCAUCUACUGCUGAGCACUGCUGUUUUGUCUCCAUAGUGCUUGUGGCUCAGUUGAUUUUGUGCAGAUUUUGUACAGCUGAUUUUGUUCUGAUAAAAAGGUUGAGUGACCUAAUCUCCCCGUAGGCUUGCAUCGGAACAGCUUGAAGUUCAAUUCGGCUCUAUUUCAAAUAAAAAAAAAAAAAAACAA